rnacentral:rRNA from 1 species
GGCUUUUUGAUAAUAAUUUAAAGUCUGACCUGCCCACUGAUAUAUUAAAUGGCCGCGGUAUUUUGACCGUGCAAAGGUAGCAUAAUCAUUAGUUUUUUAAUUAAAAGCUGGUAUGAAGGGUUUGAUAAGAAAAAAGCUGUCUCAAUUUAAUUUUAUUAGAAUUUUAUUUUUAAGUUAAAAAGCUUAAAUAAGUUUAAAAGACGAGAAGACCCUAUAGAGUUUAAUAUUAUAUUUAUUAUAAGAUAAGGAUUUAAUUAUUAUAAUUUAUUAUAGUAUUUAAUUGGGGUGAUUAAAAAAUUUAUUUAACUUUUUUUAUAUACUUACAUUUAUUUAUGAAUAGUUGAUCCAUUAAUAAUGAUUAUAAGAUAAAAUUACCUUAGGGAUAACAGCGUAAUUUUUUUAAAGAGUUCUAAUCGAAAAAAAAGAUUGCGACCUCGAUGUUGGAUUAAAGUUAAUGUUUGGUGUAGAAGCUAUAAAAUUAAGUCUGUUCGACUUUUAAAACUUUACA